UGCUUCGGAAUCUACCCAGUAGUGGGGAAUAACUAACCGAAAGGUUAGCUAAUACCGCAUACGUCCUACGGGAGAAAGCGGGGGUCGCAAGACCUCGCGCUAUUGGAUGAGCCGAAGUCGGAUUAGCUAGUUGGUGAGGUAACGGCUCACCAAGGCGACGAUCCGUAGCUGGUCUGAGAGGACGACCAGCCACACUGGAACUGAGACACGGUCCAGACUCCUACGGGAGGCAGCAGUGGGGAAUAUUGGACAAUGGGGGAAACCCUGAUCCAGCGACGCCGCGUGUGUGAAGAAGGCCUG
rnacentral:rRNA from 1 species